GUGCUCACUCCGGCAGCACAUAUACUAAAAUUGGAAUGAUAUAGAGCAGAUCAGCAUGGCCCCUGCGCAAGGAUGACAUGCAAAUUCAUGAAGUGUUCCAUAUUUUG
ensembl:snRNA U6 U6 spliceosomal RNA